rnacentral:lncRNA from 1 species
UAAUGUGGUUUUAAAUUUUAAAACAAAUUUAAAGAUUAUAGGCUUCAAUAUAUAGAGCAUUUACCGAAACUCACUAUUCUCGUAAAGGGGUACACACAGAUUUUGAGAAAAAUUCAAAAAAAUUGAAAAUACUGUUUUAAUACAUAUUUGAAUCAUGUAAUAAAAUAUGAUGAAGUUCAAAGAGGUUUGAAACCUUUGUUGUCUCCGUUUCUCUCGGAAAUAGCAAUUUUAUAGUGGUUAGUCUAAUGAUUUAGAGAUUUGGAACCUUUGUUGUCUCCGUUUCUCUAGGGAAUAGCAUUAAUUGCUAAAUUAAUUGAUAAAAAAUUAGAACGAUGUCCAUGUACCAUGAAAAGGAGUUUAUCAUAAAUUAAUACAAAUGUAUAAUGUGGCUAUAAAUUUUAAAACGAAUUAAAAGAUUAUAGGCUUCAUAUAUAGAGCAUUUACCGAAAACUCACAAUUUUCGUAGGGGGGUACACAUAGAUUUUGAAAAAAAAUAAAAAAAAAUUGAAAAUACUGUUUUAAUACAUAUUUGAAUCAUGUAUUAAAACACAUAGAUUUUUAAAAAAAUAAAAAAAAAUUGAAAAUACUGUUUUAAUACAUAUUUGAAUCAUGUAAUAAAAUAUAAUGAAGUUCAAAGAGGUUUGGAACCUUUAUUGUCUCCGUUUCUCUAAGGAAUAGCAAUUUUAUAGUGGUUAGUCUAAUGAUUUAGGGAGUAUUUGCAGUUUUGCUAUAUUAAUUGAUAAAAAUUAGAACGAUGUCCAUGUAUCAUGAAAAGGAGUUUAUCAUAAAUUAAUACAAAUUUAUAAUUUGGUUAUAAAUUUUAAAACGAAUUAAAAGAUUAUAGGCUUCAUAUAUAGAUCAUUUACCGAAAACUCACUAUUUUCGUAGGGGGGGGGGUACACAUAGAUUUUGAGAAAAAUUCAAAAAAUUUGAGAAUACU